rnacentral:rRNA from 1 species
CAGUAGCCGCGGGAAUACGUAGGUGGCAAGCGUUGUCCGGAAUUAUUGGGCGUAAAGGGCUCGCAGGCGGUUUCUUAAGUCUGAUGUGAAAGCCCCCGGCUCAACCGGGGAGGGUCAUUGGAAACUGGGAAACUUGAGUGCAGAAGAGGAGAGUGGAAUUCCACGUGUAGCGGUGAAGUGCGUAGAGAUGUGGAGGAACACCAGUGGCGAAGGCGACUCUCUGGUCUGUAACUGACGCUGAGGAGCGAAAGCGUGGGGAGCGAACAGGAUUAGAUACCCCAGUAGUUCCUGUUCUUAUACA